rnacentral:lncRNA from 1 species
GUAGUGGAAUUCUAAAUUCUAAUAAGAAAGCAGGAAAGCACGUACCACGGCCUUUGACCAGUUGUGGUGCACUGGUUGGAAUGAGAUAAAAACGAAUCAGUUGAAUGGAUCCACUGAGGGGUUCAAUCUUGUGAUGCAAGCACCUCAGGCGAGCAAUCAACUGGCUGAGCUAAAUCCCACCUUUGGUAUAUCAAAGGCUAUGGUAUAUAUACUAUACUAUAUAUAGGCUGGUACAUAGAAAACAUCCCUUUAUGCUGAACGAAACGAGUAGUCCAUAGAGUGGCGGUAGCUAGUUUAAACUCAGAUUAUCUGUGUGGUCUGACACUAUAUAACCGAAGUUGAAAAAUGUAUUCAGCGCAUCGUUAAAUGAAACCUUUCUUUUCUUCUUUUCUUGUUACCUUUCAGCUCCUGUGAAUAAUGUCAACAUUGAAAUAUCUGGAUCAAUGACAGGUUCAGUUAACAUAACAGAAGGGGAAUUGGUUGUUUUUACCUGUGUCAUACAAGGUGCAAAACCAGCUCCCAGUGUCUCGCAGGUUACGUGGUACAGAGAGGUGUCACCAGGCAAUAACGAGUCACUGCCAGGAAUUCCAGGAACCCCGACCACCUUCGACAGAACUACAUCAAUCAAGACCAGGGCCAGAAGGUGUUCUGCGCUGCAACAAACAGCUUGAUGGUAAACUGGAGUGUCCUUGCUGUUACCUCAAGUAACAAGAUACAACUGGACAUCCAGAAUUAUCCAGAACGCAUGUCGGCCUUAAGUGCAGGUGCUAUAUCGGGAAUUGUGAUCGCAGUUCUUCUUGCUCUUGCUAUUCCUACUGUGUGGGUUCUUUAUAAGAGGAAAAUAAAGAAGAAAGCUGAAGAUGUGCAGAACGUGUCUAGUAACUAACGGGAACCAAAAUCAAGCUCACAACCCUGCACGUUUCUGCAAUUACUACCUGAAUACGGAAGACAGAAACACGCUAAUGCUAGAACAAAUGUUUGUUUAUAUUAAAUGGUAUCUCAUGAAGUGGCUUGCAACUGUAUAAUGCAUACUGUUAAAAUUCAUAUAAAAACAUUAUUAGUUUUAAACUCAUAACAUUUUCACUAACAAACGAGGGGGGGGGGGGGGGGGUGUGUUAAAAAUUAUGAACUAUAUACAUUAUAUCUCAAAAUGCUGAAACAGAGAAUUUAGGUAGUUUUACCUGAAUUGUUACUUAUAAUCAAUCAAUCAGUACGAGGACAUUAAAGGCAGAAUUACAUGUCCAAUUGCUUUAUUUAGCGGUUUCAUUUAUACAACGUGUUUUGUCCUAAUGUUUUAACAGCUAAUACCUGAUUUUGCCUUCCAAUAAUUAUAGUUAUUUUUAUCUAUAUUGCCGUAUAUUAUUGUCUUAUAUUUUAUAUAUUUAUCAUUUUCUUGUUCAUAUUUCUAUUUCUAUUUUUAGUUUAAUUUUGUUAUUUUUAACUUUUUUGUUUUAUUUUAUUUCAUUUUUAAAUGAAUCAAUCCAAUUCUAUUCUAUUUGAUAAAAAACAGUUAUUCCAUUUUAGUUUUUCCCAUUUAGUACAACAGUUUGUCUGUUUAGGCAUCUUCUUUUUUAUGGUUUUGUUUUGUUUUGUUUGUUUCUUCUCUUUUUUUUUUUGAAGCGGGGUGAUUCGUGGGUGGGGGCUUCUUUUCGUGUUUUGUUUUAGUUUUAUUUGUUUACCAUUCAUUUUAAAAUAAUAGCAUACUCAAGUUAUAAACUAAGUGCUGUAUAUUUACACUUUAUUUUACUGUAUACUUUGCAUUCCCAGGUCAAUCAAUGGCCGAUCCCUGUCGGCCCAAUGGGAAAAAUGUAACAGGUUCCAUGACAAUAUAUCAAAAUUACAAUUAAUUAAAUUAAAUGCUUCAUACCCCAAAAAAAAGAAAAAAAAAAAAAAAAGAAAUGUUUUAUUUAAC